UACGGAGGGGGCUAGCGUUAUUCGGAAUUACUGGGCGUAAAGCGCACGUAGGCGGAUUGGAAAGUCAGAGGUGAAAUCCCAGAGCUCAACUUUGGAACUGCCUUUGAAACUCCCAGUCUUGAGGUCGAGAGAGGUGAGUGGAAUUCCGAGUGUAGAGGUGAAAUUCGUAGAUAUUCGGAGGAACACCAGUGGCGAAGGCGGCUCACUGGCUCGAUACUGACGCUGAGGUGCGAAAGCGUGGGGAGCAAACAGG
rnacentral:ncRNA from 2 species